ensembl:lncRNA
AUGGAAGAUGAACUGAUACAACUUAGAGACGCUGUGCUACAACUGCGAGCUGAAAACGAAUGUCUGCGCCAGGAGCCAGCGGCAACGGUGUCAACGGACUCUAUCCCGGCCCUCUGUGACAACACUGCAGCAAGGCCAUCUACAAGUAUGGCUGCAGAAGGAGAAAAUUAUUCAAGUGAUGGAAGGAGUGCGGGCGAUCACUUGCUGGCUAUCACGCAGGGAAGGAGAUCAGCGGCAGAGUAUGCACUAUCAUUUCGAACCCUCACAGCUCAAACCACCUGGGUGGAGGACACUCUAAAGGUAUUUUUUCGAAGGGGCUUGAGUCACGAUCUGCAGUCCGAAUUAGCAUUCCAAGAUGAGGGAAAGUCUUUGGAUCAAUUCAUCGAAUUUACCAUUCAGAUUGAUAAUCUCCUCUGAUCACGCCGUCCUUCUCCACGAAUGUUAUCAACAGUAACCACGGAUCACCCCGAGCCCAUGCAAGUGGAUACUUACCACAUCUUUCUGGAGGAGAGAGAGCAACGCCUCACUUUGAAGUUGUGCCUCUACUGUGGUGAGACCGGUCACCUGAUAAUCAACCUGUCCAUCCUGAACCUGCCGAGAUCCUGCGACCCGGGUGAGUGUACCCAUUUUAGCCCUCAAUGCUGAGAACUGUGUUACUGUCCCUGUCACUAUUACUCUGCCCACAAGAACUGUGUCAGUAGUGGCUAUGUUGGAUUCUGGGGCUGCAGGAAAUUUUAUGUCUUCGGAGUUUGCUAUGGAACAGUGUAUCUCCCUAAUCAAGUAUGUGUCUCUCCUUUGGCAGUCGAAGCGGUAGAUGGACGACCACUGGGCAGCGGGAAGAUAACUCAUCUCACUACAGAACUCACGAUGAGGACUGGAGCUCUACAUCAAGAGACCAUCCAAUUUUAUAUAAUCUCAAAAUCUCAUGCACCAAUCAUCCUUGUACUGCCUUGGCUGCGCAAGCACGAUCCCACUAUCUCCUGGAAUGAAGCUCGGAUAAUCCAGUGGAAUAAGGUCUGCUUUCCUCGCUGUAUUUCUGCUAUCACCCCACUGCUGCUCCAAACAGCUUCCAUUCGGGAGACAAACAUCCCCGGGCUGCCUCCUGUCUACCAGGCUUUUAGCAAGAUCAGGGCCUCCAAAUUAACACUGUAACUGACCUUCUGACUGUGCCAUUGAUCUCUUGCCCGACACCGUCCCUCCCAAGGGCUGUAUAUUCCCUCUGUCUCAACCCAAAACCAGGGCCAUGGAAGAGUAUAUCAAGGAGGAACUGGCUAAGGGCUUCAUUCAACCCUCUACCACCCCAGCUUCAGCUGGCUUCUUCGUGAAAAAAAAAGGAUGGAUGCCUCCACCCCAGCAUUGAUUAUCGAGGUCUCAACGAGAUAACUGUUAAAUUCCGCUACCCCCUGCCUCUAGUGCCUGCUUUAGAACAAUUGAGAACUGCCAAAUUCUUCACCAAACUCGAUCUUCGCAAUGCAUACAACCUCAUUCAGAUUCGAGCUGGAGAUGAGUGGAAGACGGCCUUCUCCACAAGCUCAGAUCACUAUGAAUACCAGGUCAUGCACUUCGGCCUGGUCAACAGUCCGUCUGUAUUUCAGUCAUUCAUCAAUGACAUAUUCAGAGACAUGCUCAAUAGGUUCCUUAUAGUCUACAUCGACAUUUUAAUUUAUUCUACAACCCAGAAGGAGCACAUCCAGCAGGUCAGGGCAGUACUCAAAUGCCUAAUGGAACAUCAACUCUACACCAAGGCAGAGAAAUGUUAAUUCCACCUAACAGCAAUCUGGUUCCUAGGAUAUGUAA